GAUUAUGAGGCCAAAAAGGACUAUUAAAAAAAAUUGAACUUCACGUUUUCGAAUUCGGCAUUAUACGGUAAAAGGAGAGGUUCAGUAGCUGCUGCGACUAAUAAGGUCGUCAAAGCAGCUGGUAAGAACAACUCAACAACAUUGGUGCCAGGUUUCAUUCCACAAAUUUCAAAACCAGUUCAUGCAUUGUCUCAAUUAAUCCAAGGUGGUGCAUUAACAGUGAGAGCGGAGAAUGGAUUGGGGACAACCCCCAACAACACAGAGAAAACCUCAUCAACAAGAGUACCAGUUUACGUUCCACAAAUUCAAGGACCAGCUCAUGCAGCAUCAUUGUCUUAAUUAAUCCAAGGUGAUAUUUU